rnacentral:rRNA from 1 species
GACGGAGGGUGCUAGCGUUGUUCGGAAUCACUGGGCGUAAAGCGCGUGUAGGCGGCUCGAUAAGUCGGAUGUGAAAGCCCGAAGCCCAACUUCGGAAGUGCAUCCGAAACUGUCGGGCUUGAGUACGGGAGAGGGAAGCGGAAUUCCUGGUGUAGAGGUGAAAUUCGUAGAUAUCAGGAGGAACACCGGUGGCGAAGGCGGCUUCCUGGACCGAUACUGACGCUGAGACGCGAAAGCGUGGGGAGCAAACAGG